rnacentral:lncRNA from 1 species
AUUUGGUAUCUCUUCUAAAUGUGGUUAAUUUAAAAAAAUUUUAAGUUACUAUUGAAAAUUUAGAAAAGUUGAUUUUUAUUUCACAAUCAUUGAUAAUCGCAUGUCAAUUUUUAAUGCACUCAUUUGGAAGGCUGCCAAUUCUAAGAGUUUCUUUUAUGAUCCUAAGAUUUUUUUCAAGACAUUUCAAGUUUCCUUUGGUAGUGACUCACUCUAUAAAUUGCUUAUGGUCAUUGACUUGUUCAUUGCUAAAUCCUUCUGGUAAAGUCCUUCUGGUAAAUAUCUGUGUAGAUAUUUUAUGCCAAAUCUACAAAAAAUUUAAAAUUUCUAUGUGUUUAUACAGUUUGUUCCUCUCAUCAAUAGAUUACAAAAAUCUAGGCAUCAAUUCUACUUAAAAUUAAUCUUUUCUCUCCAGUAAAUUACUGGUUUUGGUUGGAAAUGAAAAAUAAUUGUUACAAUUUACUUUUCUUUCUUUCUUUCUUUCUUUCUUUCUUUCUUUCUUUCUUUCUUUCUUUCUUUCUUUCUUUCUUUCUUUCUUUCUUUCUUUUUUAUACUGGUAAUUUUACCAAUUAUCCCCAGCCCUUUUUAUUUUUCAUUUUGAGGCAGGGUCUCACUAAAUUGCUAGGGCCUCACUAAGUUGCUGAGGUUGGCUUUGAGCCCACCAUCCUCCUUCCUCAGCAUCCCAAGUUGCUGGAAUUACAGGCGAGCACCAGUGUUCCCAGCUCUUACAGUUCACUUUAUUUUGGUGGGGGUGGGGGAGUAGGGGAUUGAACUCAAGGGCACCCAACCACUGAGCCAUCCCCAAUUCUAUUUUGUAUUUUAUUUAGAGACAGGGUCUCACUAAGUUGCUUAGUGCUUCGCUUUUGCUGAGCCUGACUUUGAACUCGCAAUCCUCCUGUCUUAGCCUCCCAAACUGCUGGGAUAACAGGUGUGGGCCACUGCGCCCAUCUACAAUUCACUUUUUUGAUGUUAGAAUAACUUCUGUUGAAUUUAUAUAGAAGGCUGGGAUAUAGCUCAGUGGCACAGCGUUGUCCUGGUGUGCUCAAGAUCCAGCACUGCAAAAAAAAAAUUAGAUUUUUGUAGAAAUAUGUAAAAAACAGUUUUAUCUCAUGACAAAUGUACAAUUGUAUGUGUUGCAUCGUAAAUAUACUCCUAAAGAUGAGAGCUUCCAUUUUGAUUAGACAUUGAUGAGACUGAAUCCUACAUUUAGAAUUUUCUGGUAUUGGAAGGAUUUAUUGGCUCUGCUGCCACAGACUUCUGGUGCUUCAUGUCUUAAGACACGUUCUUAUGGUGACAAUUCCUCUGACCUUGCACUUUAGUCUUUGCUGUCAAGUGAGUAAUCUCAGCAGGUGGCAGAAGUAUUCCUGGAAGCCAUUUCUAAACUUAGCAAUAACCUGAUGAAACACAGAGGUAUUUAUAAGCCACAUGUCUUAGUACACUCAAACCAUGUAAGUCUAACUCAAUUUCCCUUUUGCUGGAUCCCCAAAUGCCCACUGAUACAAGGACAGAGGAAAGUUGGAAUGGAAAAAGAAAUGCUAACUGCAGUUAAAUAUACAUUACUUUUGCAAAUCUACAAAAUAGUGUGACCAUGUGAAUACAUUGCCACAGCCCAUCCUGGGGCCUUGGAAAUAGCCAGGGCAAGUGAUGAACUUCAUGGUACUUGUUUCUCUGCACACCCAAUUACUUGAAUCAGAAUUGUAUUUGAAGUUUCCUCUGCUGAAGUCUUACUUCAGGCUGACUCUCAUAGCCUUAUCGAACAUCACUCUCUGCACUUGCUUACGCCUUUUGAUUUUUCUCAAUGCCUCAGUAAGUUUGGAAUUUGCAGCUCAUAAAUUCCCAUAUUAUAAGGAAGUGUCUAAUUGUGUAGCCUCAUCAUUUUGUUGAAAUAAGUGUGUCUAACUUAAUGCCUACAGUAAGUCAACCACUUGUAUACAUUCCACUCAGGGUAGAUUCAUCCCUCUCCACAACUUCUAUAAGCAAAAUGUCCAUACUGGUCCAUCUGGCUGUUCUUGGGAGCAGAUGUUUUGUAAGAUUCUUUCUCAACCUGUGGAUGAUGAACUGCCUCAAUACAUUUCAGGUUAAUUGGGGGUUUGUUUACUUGU